GGUCAAGUGAAGAAGCGCAUACGGUGGAUGCCUUGGCAGUCAGAGGCGAUGAAAGACGUGGUAGCCUGCGAAAAGCUUCGGGGAGUCGGCAAACAGACUGUGAUCCGGAGAUAUCUGAAUGGGGGAACCCAGCCAUCAUAAGAUGGUUAUCUUGUACUGAAUACAUAGGUGCAAGAGGCGAACCAGGGGAACUGAAACAUCUAAGUACCCUGAGGAAAAGAAAUCAACCGAGAUUCCCUUAGUAGUGGCGAGCGAACGGGGACCAGCCCUUAAGUUGUAUUGAGAUUAGCGGAACGUUCUGGAAAGGACGGCCAUAGUGGGUGAUAGCCCUGUACGCGAAAAUCCCUUUGCAAUGAAAUCGAGUAGGACGGGGCACGAGAAACCUUGUCUGAAUAUGGGGGGACCAUCCUCCAAGGCUAAAUACUACUGACUGACCGAUAGUGAACCAGUACCGUGAGGGAAAGGCGAAAAGAACCGCGGAGAGCGGAGUGAAAUAGAUCCUGAAACCGUAUGCGUACAAGCAGUGGGAGCCCACUUUGUUGGGUGACUGCGUACCUUUUGUAUAAUGGGUCAGCGACUUAUUUUCAGUGGCGAGCUUAACCGAAUAGGGGAGGCGUAGCGAAAGCGAGUCUUAAUAGGGCGUCUAGUCGCUGGGAAUAGACCCGAAACCGGGCGAUCUAUCCAUGGGCAGGUUGAAGGUUGGGUAACACUAACUGGAGGACCGAACCGACUACCGUUGAAAAGUUAGCGGAUGACCUGUGGAUCGGAGUGAAAGGCUAAUCAAGCUCGGAGAUAGCUGGUUCUCCUCGAAAGCUAUUUAGGUAGCGCCUCAUGUAUCACUGUAGGGGGUAGAGCACUGUUUCGGCUAGGGGGUCAUCCCGACUUACCAAACCGAUGCAAACUCCGAAUACCUACAAGUGCCGAGCAUGGGAGACACACGGCGGGUGCUAACGUCCGUCGUGAAAAGGGAAACAACCCAGACCGUCAGCUAAGGUCCCAAAGUCAUGGUUAAGUGGGAAACGAUGUGGGAAGGCUUAGACAGCUAGGAGGUUGGCUUAGAAGCAGCCACCCUUUAAAGAAAGCGUAAUAGCUCACUAGUCGAGUCGGCCUGCGCGGAAGAUGUAACGGGGCUCAAACCAUGCACCGAAGCUACGGGUAUCAUCUUAUGAUGAUGCGGUAGAGGAGCGUUCUGUAAGCCUGUGAAGGUGAGUUGAGAAGCUUGCUGGAGGUAUCAGAAGUGCGAAUGCUGACAUGAGUAACGACAAUGGGUGUGAAAAACACCCACGCCGAAAGACCAAGGUUUCCUGCGCAACGUUAAUCGACGCAGGGUUAGUCGGUCCCUAAGGCGAGGCUGAAAAGCGUAGUCGAUGGAAAACAGGUUAAUAUUCCUGUACUUCUGGUUAUUGCGAUGGAGGGACGGAGAAGGCUAGGCCAGCCUGGCGUUGGUAGUCCAGGUUUAAGGUGGUAGGCUGAGAUCUUAGGUAAAUCCGGGAUCUUAAGGCCGAGAGCUGAUGACGAGUGUUCUUUUAGAACAUGAAGUGGUUGAUGCCAUGCUUCCAAGAAAAGCUUCUAAGCUUCAGGUAACCAGGAACCGUACCCCAAACCGACACAGGUGGUUGGGUAGAGAAUACCAAGGCGCUUGAGAGAACUCGGGUGAAGGAACUAGGCAAAAUGGCACCGUAACUUCGGGAGAAGGUGCGCCGGUGGAGGUGAAGCAUUUACUGCGUAAGCCCCUGCCGGUCGAAGAUACCAGGCCGCUGCGACUGUUUAUUAAAAACACAGCACUCUGCAAACACGAAAGUGGACGUAUAGGGUGUGACGCCUGCCCGGUGCCGGAAGGUUAAUUGAUGGGGUUAGCGCAAGCGAAGCUCUUGAUCGAAGCCCCGGUAAACGGCGGCCGUAACUAUAACGGUCCUAAGGUAGCGAAAUUCCUUGUCGGGUAAGUUCCGACCUGCACGAAUGGCGUAACGAUGGCGGCGCUGUCUCCACCCGAGACUCAGUGAAAUUGAAAUCGCUGUGAAGAUGCAGUGUAUCCGCGGCUAGACGGAAAGACCCCGUGAACCUUUACUAUAGCUUUGCACUGGACUUUGAAUUUGCUUGUGUAGGAUAGGUGGGAGGCUUUGAAGCGUGGACGCCAGUCUGCGUGGAGCCAACCUUGAAAUACCACCCUGGCAACUUUGAGGUUCUAACUCAGGUCCGUUAUCCGGAUCGAGGACAGUGUAUGGUGGGUAGUUUGACUGGGGCGGUCUCCUCCUAAAGAGUAACGGAGGAGUACGAAGGUGCGCUCAGACCGGUCGGAAAUCGGUCGUAGAGUAUAAAGGCAAAAGCGCGCUUGACUGCGAGACAGACACGUCGAGCAGGUACGAAAGUAGGUCUUAGUGAUCCGGUGGUUCUGUAUGGAAGGGCCAUCGCUCAACGGAUAAAAGGUACUCCGGGGAUAACAGGCUGAUACCGCCCAAGAGUUCAUAUCGACGGCGGUGUUUGGCACCUCGAUGUCGGCUCAUCACAUCCUGGGGCUGAAGCCGGUCCCAAGGGUAUGGCUGUUCGCCAUUUAAAGUGGUACGCGAGCUGGGUUUAGAACGUCGUGAGACAGUUCGGUCCCUAUCUGCCGUGGACGUUUGAGAUUUGAGAGGGGCUGCUCCUAGUACGAGAGGACCGGAGUGGACGAACCUCUGGUGUUCCGGUUGUCACGCCAGUGGCAUUGCCGGGUAGCUAUGUUCGGAAAAGAUAACCGCUGAAAGCAUCUAAGCGGGAAACUUGCCUCAAGAUGAGAUCUCACUGGAACCUUGAGUUCCCUAAAGGGCCGUCGAAGACUACGACGUUGAUAGGUUGGGUGUGUAAGCGCUGUGAGGCGUUGAGCUAACCAAUACUAAUUGCCCGUGAGGCUUGACCAU
rnacentral:rRNA from 1 species